CCCCCCCACCUCUGGCCCCCGUCUUCCGCCACACCUCUGGCCCCAUCUUCGGUCCUCCCACCUUGGGUCACCUGUCAUCGACCCUGAACUAAGGCUCUCUAUCUCUGGGCCCCUGACUUUUCCAUCUCUAAUUGUGGGUGGCACUUAGUAUUGAGCUGGGGGCAGAGCCGACUGUGGUGUCAGGUGACUAACAGGGCGCAGGAUGAAACUUGUGGCGCGUGAUGAUUCCAUGGGAUGAAUUCAUCUCUACUGCUGAUGCCACAAGCUUUAAUGUCCCUGGCACCUCGAAGGCUCACCUUUCAGUUCACUUACUAUGGGCUAUCUGCAUUAUUUCUAUCACACAUUCUUUCUUAUGCUUUUCAGCUGGUGUUUGAUCUUAGGAAAAUGUGGAGGUAAAUAUCUUCUUCAUAAACGUGGUGCAGCUUUUGUAUAGUUGCACAUAAAUAGUCACUCUGUGUUUUUUUACUUGUCUUUGAGAUUUUACUAAGAAAUCUGUGAACCUAUUUCUUUCCUUCAACGCCCAACCACGGACUUCUUUGAGGAAUUGUGUCCAGAAUUCAGCAUAUGGUAAAGCAAAGACGGUGCCUCUACAUACCAAAAGGUAAUGUUUGAUUUGCAUCUUGCUCCCGAGUCUGUUUUAGAAAAAAAGAAUUGAAAUGUACUGAUUAAUAUUCUCUGUGUUUUACUCCCGGACUGCACUGAAUCAACUCCACGUGGAGACCUGGGUCUCAUGUUCCAGUUAGAAGAAGUAGGAAGCCAUCGAUCAAGACUAAGAAGCUGCUUGCACAGUGAAUCCCACGCAAACCUGUAGACCUGACUCUCCUCAUACCACAGGCAGAGAUGGAAAAUGGCUUCUCUGCUCUAUUUUGCUCUUCUUUUUUUGCUGUAAAAACUUUGAAAAAUGAAUAAAAAAGGAAUAUAUGAAAAAGUA